rnacentral:rRNA from 1 species
AGAGUUUGAUCAUGGCUCAGGACGAACGCUGGCGGCGUGCUUAACACAUGCAAGUCGAACGGUAAGGCCCCUUCGGGGGUACACGAGUGGCGAACGGGUGAGUAACACGUGGGUAAUCUGCCCUGCACUUCGGGAUAAGCCUGGGAAACUGGGUCUAAUACCGGAUAUGACUCCUGGCCGCAUGGUCUGGGAGUGGAAAGUUUUUCGGUGCAGGAUGAGCCCGCGGCCUAUCAGCUUGUUGGUGGGGUAAUGGCCUACCAAGGCGACGACGGGUAGCCGGCCUGAGAGGGUGAUCGGCCACACUGGGACUGAGACACGGCCCAGACUCCUACGGGAGGCAGCAGUGGGGAAUAUUGCACAAUGGGCGGAAGCCUGAUGCAGCGACGCCGCGUGGGGGAUGACGGUCUUCGGAUUGUAAACCCCUUUCAGUAGGGACGAAGCGCAAGUGACGGUACCUGCAGAAGAAGCACCGGCUAACUACGUGCCAGCAGCCGCGGUAAUACGUAGGGUGCGAGCGUUGUCCGGAAUUACUGGGCGUAAAGAGCUCGUAGGCGGUUUGUCACGUCGUCUGUGAAAUCCCUCGGCUUAACCGGGGGCGUGCAGGCGAUACGGGCAGACUUGAGUACUACAGGGGAGACUGGAAUUCCUGGUGUAGCGGUGAAAUGCGCAGAUAUCAGGAGGAACACCGGUGGCGAAGGCGGGUCUCUGGGUAGUAACUGACGCUGAGGAGCGAAAGCAUGGGUAGCGAACAGGAUUAGAUACCCUGGUAGUCCAUGCCGUAAACGGUGGGCGCUAGGUGUGGGGUCCUUCCACGGACUCCGUGCCGUAGCUAACGCAUUAAGCGCCCGCCUGGGGAGUACGGCCGCAAGGCUAAAACUCAAAGGAAUUGACGG